GCUACGGGAGGCAGCAGUGAGGAAUAUUGGUCAAUGGACGAGAGUCUGAACCAGCCAAGUAGCGUGAAGGAUGACUGCCCUAUGGGUUGUAAACUUCUUUUAUAAAGGAAUAAAACGAGGCACGUGUGCCUUUUUGCAUGUACUUUAUGAAUAAGGAUCGGCUAACUCCGUGCCAGCAGCCGCGGUAAUACGGAGGAUCCGAGCGUUAUCCGGAUUUAUUGGGUUUAAAGUGAGCGUAGAUGGGUUGUUAAGUCAGUUGUGAAAGUUUGCGGCUCAACCGUAAAAUUGCAAUUGAUACUGGCAGUCUUGAGUACAUUUGAGGUAGGCGGAAUUCGUGGUGUAGCGGUGAAAUGCUUAGAUAUCACGAAGAACCCCGAUUGCGAAGGCAGCUUACUAAACUGUGACUGACAUUGAUGCUCGAAAGUGUGGGUAUCAAACAGGAUUAGAUACCCGUGUAGUC
rnacentral:rRNA from 1 species